rnacentral:tRNA from 1 species
AAACGCGGCGGACUGUAAAUCCGCUCCUUCGGGUUCGGCAGUUCGAAUCUGCCCCCCUCCA